rnacentral:rRNA from 1 species
GUGAGGAAUAUUGCGCAAUGGAGGCAACUCUGACGCAGCCAUGCCGCGUGCAGGAAGAAGGCGCUACGCGUUGUAAACUGCUUUUAACCGGGAAGAAACCCCAGGACGUGUCCUGGGUUGACGGUACCGGAGGAAUAAGCACCGGCUAACUUCGUGCCAGCAGCCGCGGUAAUACGAAGGGUGCAAGCGUUAUCCGGAUUCAUUGGGUUUAAAGGGUGCGUAGGCGGAGCGUUAAGUCAGUGGUGAAAUCCUGCAGCUUAACUGUAGACUUGCCAUUGAUACUGGCGCUCUUGAGUGCGCUGGAAGUGGGCGGAAUGUGCCGUGUAGCGGUGAAAUGCUUAGAUAUGGCACAGAACACCAAUUGCGAAGGCAGCUCACUAAGGCGAUACUGACGCUGAGGCACGAAAGCGUGGGGAUCGAACAGGAUUAGAAACCCCAGUAGUCC